UACGAACCGUGCGACCGUUGUUCGGAAUCACUGGGCUUAAAGGGCGCGUAGGCGGGUUGGCAAGUCUGUGGUGAAAUCCUCCGGCUCAACCGGAGAACUGCCGUGGAUACUGCCAUUCUCGAGGGGUGUAGGGGCAUGUGGAACUCAGGGUGGAGCGGUGAAAUGCGUAGAUAUCCUGAGGAACGCCGGUGGCGAAAGCGACGUGCUGGACACCUACUGACGCUGAGGCGCGAAAGCCAGGGGAGCGAACGGG
rnacentral:rRNA from 1 species